rnacentral:RNase_P_RNA from 1 species
CGCUCUUUGUUUCGACAAAGGGAGGAAAGUCCGGGCUCCAUAGGGCAGGGUGCCAGGUAACUCCUGGGAGGUGUGAACCUACGGAAAGUGCCACAGAAAAUAUACCGCCCGCUUGUUCUUCUUUUUUAGGCUUGUCCUUCAAGAGUUGGCAACAAGCGGGUAAGGGUGAAAUGGUGCGGUAAGAGCGCACCGCGCGAUUGGCAACAGUCGUGGCAGGGAAAACCCCACCCGGAGCAAGACCAAAUAGGAAUCCAUGUGACUGCAAAGUCAUGUCGUGCGGCCCGCACGGGAUUCGGGUAGGUUGCUUGAGGCAUACGGUGACGUGUGUCCCAGAUGAAUGAUUGUCCGCG